rnacentral:rRNA from 1 species
AUUGAACGCUGGCGGCAUGCCUUACACAUGCAAGUCGAACGGUAACGGGUCCUUCGGGAUGCCGACGAGUGGCGAACGGGUGAGUAAUAUAUCGGAACGCGCCCAGUAGUGGGGGAUAACUGCUCGAAAGAGCAGCUAAUACCGCAUACGACCUGAGGGUGAAAGGGGGGGAUCGCAAGACCCCUCGCUAUUGGAGCCGCAGAUAACAGAUUAGCUAGUUGGUGGGGUAAAGGCCUACCAAGGCAACGAUCUGUAGUUGGUCUGAGAGGACGAACAGCCACACUGGGACUGAGACACGGCCCAGACUCCUACGGGAGGCAGCAGUGGGGAAUUUUGGACAAUGGGCACAAGCCUGAUCCAGCAAUGCCGCGUGCAGGAAGAAGGCCAUCGGGUUGUAAACUGCUUUUGUCAGGGAAGAAAUCUUCUGGGCUAAUACCCCGGGAGGAUGACGGUACCUGAAGAAUAAGCACCGGCUAACUACGUGCCAGCCGCCGCCGUAA